GAUGAAGAACGUAGCGAAAUGCGAUAAGUAAUGUGAAUUGCAGAAUUCAGUGAAUCAUCGAAUCUUUGAACGCACAUUGCGCCCGCCAGUAUUCUGGCGGGCAUGCCUGUUCGAGCGUCAUUUCAACCAUCAAGCCCCAGGCUUGUGUUGGAGCCCUGCGGCUGCCGCAGCCUCCCAAAACCAGUGGCGGGCUCGCUAUCACACCGAGUGCAGUAGUUUACUCUUCGCUCAGGGCGUGUGGCGGGUGCUAGCCGUAAAACCCCCAACUUCUCAAGGUUGACCUCGGAUCAGGUAGGAAUCCCCGCUGAACUUAAGCAUAUCAAUAAGCGGAGGA
rnacentral:misc_RNA from 1 species